AUGCCCAUGGAUGCGGGGAACAACGGGAAACAGCGGCUGCAGGACAAGUUCGACCUCCUUGCGAAGGAGCAAGGGUACCGGAGUCGCGCGGCCUUCAAGCUGCUCCAGCUCGACACGCUCUUCCGUUUUCUCCCGACGGCUCGCGCGGUGCUUGAUCUCUGCGCCGCGCCUGGGGGGUGGGUCCAGGUGGCCGUCAGCCGCGCCGCCCCCGGCGCCUUCGUCGUCGGCGUCGACCUCGCGCCCAUCCGCCCCAUCCGCGGCGCUCUCUCUCUCAAGGAAGACAUAACUGCCAGUGCCAGGUGCGGCGCCGCCGUGCGGCGGCUCAUGGACUCGAGGGGCGUCACGUCAUUUGAAGUCGUCCUCCACGACGGUGUUGGACGAAAGAAAAAGAGAGGAAAUCGUUCCGUGUGCGGUGGCAACAGUGCAUCGGCUGCGCAGGAGGCCACAACCACGCAGUCAGCGCUUGUCAUGGACGCCGUGCGCCUAGCUACCAUGUUCCUCGCCCCCAAUGGCACCUUCAUCACCAAGUUCUUCAGGUGUCAAGAUUACAAGGCUGUAAUGUUCUGCCUGAAACAGCUAUUUGAGCGUGUUCAUCUGAGUAGACCUGUAGCAAGUUGGUCCACGCCUGCUGAAAUUUAUGUUAUCUGUCUGAGAUAUAAAGCCCCUGCAAAUAUUCAACCAGAACUUCUUGAUUUGAAGCACCUGCACUUGUUGAGUGUGGAUGCAGAGAAACGCAAGCGGCAGGAAAGCACAGAAAUCUGGAAAACUGGUCUAGCAUCAGAUUUUAUAUGGUCUGAGGCCCAGACACCACUAGAGUUUCUUGGUUCCUUUUUGACAAUUUCAUUUGACGAUCCAGCAUCUCUGCCUAUCAAGAAUCAUGAGCUUACUACAGAUGAGGUAGUGGAGUAUUGCCUGCCUAGCUUCUCUUCUGUCUUAGUUAUGACCCUGGUUGCUUGUACCUUUGCUGUCUAG
rnacentral:rRNA from 1 species